ACACGAACUGCGCGAACGUUAUUCGGAAUCAUUGGGCUUAAAGAGUUCGUAGGCGGCCUGAUAAGUUGGGUGUGAAAUCCCUCGGCUCAACCGAGGAACUGCGCUCAAUACUGUCAGGCUUGAGGGAGACAGAGGUGAGUGGAACUGAUGGUGGAGCGGUGAAAUGCGUUGAUAUCAUCAGGAACACCGGUGGCGAAAGCGGCUCACUGGGUCUCUUCUGACGCUGAGGAACGAAAGCUAGGGGAGCGAACGGGAUUAGAUACCCUAGUAGUCC
rnacentral:rRNA from 1 species